rfam:Schistosoma margrebowiei strain Zambia genome assembly, scaffold: SMRZ_contig0003210
GUAAAGGCCCUUUUCAGGGCCACCCACAAUUUGAUUUAAAUUCUUU